rnacentral:rRNA from 2 species
UCAUACUGGAGUCGGGUGGGGAUGACGUCAAAUCAUCAUGCCCCUUAUGACCUGGGCUACACACGUGCUACAAUGGAUGGUACAAAGGGCUGCAAGACCGCGAGGUCAAGCCAAUCCCAUAAAACCAUUCUCAGUUCGGAUUGUAGGCUGCAACUCGCCUACAUGAAGCUGGAAUCGCUAGUAAUCGCGGAUCAGCAUGCCGCGGUGAAUACGUUCCCGGGCCUUGUACACACCGCCCGUCACACCACGAGAGUUUGUAACACCCGAAGUCGGUGGAGUAACCGUAAGGAGCUAGCCGCC